UGNUCUGUCACUGACGCUGAGGCUNGAAAGCGUGGGUAGCGAACAGGAUUAGAUACCCUGGUAGUNCACGCCGUAAACGAUGAGUGCUAGGUGUUAGGCCCUUUCCGGGGCUUAGUGCCGGAGCUAACGCAAUAAGCACUCCGCCUGGGAAGUACGACCGCAGGGUUGAAACUCAAAGGAAUUGACGGGGGCCCGCACGAGCGGUGGAGCAUGUGGUUUAAUUCGAAGCAACGCGAAGAACCUUACCAGGUCUUGACAUCCCGAUGCUAUUCUUAGAGAUAGGAAGUUACUUCGGUACAUCGGAGACAGGUGGUGCAUGGUUGUCGUCAGCUCGUGUCGUGAGAUGUUGGGUUAAGUCCCGCAACGAGCGCAACCCUUAUUGUUAGUUGCCAUCAUUAAGUUGGGCACUCUAGCGAGACUGCCGGUAAUAAACCGGAGGAAGGUGGGGAUGACGUCAAAUCAUCAUGCCCCUUAUGACCUGGGCUACACACGUGCUACAAUGGUCGGUACAACGAGUUGCGAGCCGGUGACGGCAAGCUAAUCUCUGAAAGCCGAUCUCAGUUCGGAUUGGAGGCUGCAACUCGCCUCCAUGAAGUCGGAAUCGCUAGUAAUCGCGGAUCAGCACGCCGCGGUGAAUACGUUCCCGGGCCUUGUACACACCGCCCGUCACACCACGAGAGUUUGUAACACCCGAAGUCGGUGAGGUANCCU
rnacentral:rRNA from 1 species